rnacentral:rRNA from 1 species
UACGGAGGGUGCGAGCGUUGUCCGGAAUCACUGGGCGCAAAGGGCGCGUAGGUGGCCUGUGGAAGUCUGCGGUGAAAGCCCGGCGCUCAACGCCGGGUCGGCCGUGGAUACUCUCGGGCUCGAGCUUACUAGAGGCAGAUGGAAUUCCGGGUGUAGCGGUGGAAUGCGUAGAGAUCCGGAAGAACACCGGUGGCGAAGGCGGUUCUCUGGGCCGAUACUGACGCUGAGGAGCGAAAGCGUGGGGAGCGAACAGG